AGCGAACGCUGGCGGCAGGCCUAACACAUGCAAGUCGGGCGGCCGUAGCAAUACGGCAGCGGCAGACGGGGUAGUAACACGUGGGAACGCGCCCUUCGGUUCGGAAUAACUCAGGGAAACUUGAGCUAAUACCGGAUACGCCCUUACGGGGAAAGAUUUAUUGCCGAAGGAACGGCCCGCGUCCGAUUAGCUAGUUGGUG
rnacentral:rRNA from 1 species